AACUAGCAUAUCAAUAAGCGGAGGAAAAGAAACCAACAGGGAUUGCCCUAGUAACGGCGAGUGAAGCGGCAACAGCUCAAAUUUGAAAUCUGGCGUCUUUGGCGUCCGAGUUGUAAUUUGCAGAGGGCGCUUUGGCAUUGGCAGCGGUCCAAGUUCCUUGGAACAGGACGUCACAGAGGGUGAGAAUCCCGUACGUGGUCGCUAGCCUUUACCGUGUAAAGCCCCUUCGACGAGUCGAGUUGUUUGGGAAUGCAGCUCUAAAUGGGAGGUAAAUUUCUUCUAAAGCUAAAUACUGGCCAGAGACCGAUAGCGCACAAGUAGAGUGAUCGAAAGAUGAAAAGCACUUUGGAAAGAGAGUUAAAAAGCACGUGAAAUUGUUGAAAGGGAAGCGCUUGCAGCCAGACUUGCCUGUAGUUGCUCAUCCGGGUUUUUACCCGGUGCACUCUUCUAUGGGCAGGCCAGCAUCAGUUUGGGCGGUUGGAUAAAGGUCUCUGUCACGUACCUCCUCUCGGGGAGAACUUAUAGGGGAGACGUAAUGCAACCAGCCUGGACUGAGGUCCGCGCAUCUGCUAGGAUGCUGGCGUAAUGGCUGUAAGCGGCCCGUCUUGAAACACGGACCAAGGAGUCUAACAUCUAUGCGAGUGUUUGGGUGUCAAGCCCGAGCGCGUAAUGAAAGUGAACGGAGGUGGGAACCUUUCGGGGUGCACCAUCGACCGAUCCUGAUGUCUUCGGAUGGAUUUGAGUAAGAGCAUAGCUGUUGGGACCCGAAAGAUGGUGAACUAUGCUUGAAUAGGGUGAAGCCAGAGGAAACUCUGGUGGAGGCUCGCAGCGGUUCUGACGUGCAAAUCGAUCGUCAAAUUUGGGCAUAGGGGCGAAAGACU
rnacentral:rRNA from 1 species